rnacentral:rRNA from 1 species
AGAAGGAAAGGAUGCUUACCAUGUCACGUCGUACGAUGAUCCCAGCUUGCUGGGGGAUUAGUGGCGAACGGGUGAGUAACACGUGAGUAACCUGCCCUUAACUCUGGGAUAAGCCUGGGAAACUGGGUCUAAUACCGGAUAUGACUCCUCAUCGCAUGGUGGGGGGUGGAAAGCUUUAUUGGGGUUUUGGAGGGACUCGCGGCCUAUCAGUUGGUGGGGGAGGAAAGGGUUCACCAAGGCGACAACGGGAAGCCGGCCUGAAAGGGGGCCCGGCCACCCGGGAACUGAAACCCGGCCCAAACUCCUACGGAAGGAAGAAGGGGGGAAUUUUGCACAAGGGGGGCAAGCCUGAUGCAGCGACGCCGCGGGAGGAAUGACGGCCUUCGGGUGGAAAACCUCUUUCAGAAGGAAAAAAGCGAAAGGGACGGACCCUGCAAAAAAAGCGCCGGUUAAUUACGGGCCAGCAGCCGCGGAAAUACGAAGGGCGCAAGGGUUAUCCGAAAUUAUGGGGGGUAAAAAGUUCGAAGGGGGUUGGUCGCGCCUGCCGGGAAAGUCCGGGGUUCACCUCCGAAUCUGCGGGGGGAACGGGAAAAUUAAAGGGAGGAAGGGAAAAUUGAAAUUCCUGGGGAAGCGGGGAAAUGCGCAAUAAUCAGGAGGAACACCAAUGGCGAAGGAAGGUCUCUGGCAAUUAAUUGACGUUGAGGAGCGAAAGAUUGGGAAGCAACCAGAAUAAGAUACCCGGGAAGUCCAUGCCGUAAACGUCGGGACUUAGGUGUGGGGGAAAUUCCACGUUUCCCGCGCCGAAGCUAACGCAUAAGUGCCCCGCUUGGCGGAGCACGGCCGCAAGGCUAAAAUUAAAGGAAUUGACGCGGGCCCG